rnacentral:lncRNA from 1 species
AUGUUAACCCCGGAGAGAGAACAGGCUGGACUCGUUUGCACGCCUCCCUGCUCACCUGCAUCCGCUGGGACGAGGACGGCCCCGUGCCUCUCCCCAGGGCUUUGCAGCACAGGGACGGGCCCGUGGGGUACACGGCCCUGCCCGCGGCGAGGGAGGGAUUUUGGGGCCGGUUUUGUCACCGUUGGGCAACUGCGGUGCAGAGUGGCCACGUUUUGUUUUUUUUUUUUUAUGGGGCGUUUUGUGGGAGAGCGGUGGCGGCGGGGCUGGCUGAGCUGCUCGCCCCGCCGGGUGCCUUCGGUGACGUGCUCGAACCGUCCCCGACGCAGCCCUAAUGAGAGGUCGGGGAAGGCUGGGGCUGUGCUGGCCAAAUGUCACCUCCUGUGUGCUCCUGGGUGCCCAAGGGGAGGAGGCAGAGCAGACUGGGGGGGUGGCGGAGGAGGGCAGAGCGCUGGGUUAAGGCAGCAGGCAGCAGCCCCGCUGCCAGCCCUCGUUUCGGCAGCACGGAGAUGGGAUGUAUCCUGCCCAGGCACCAGGAGCAGAGGCGGGCGAGACCUCGCGCCCUUCGCCAGCGGCCCCCUCGGCGGAGCCCCGGCCGCCCGCCCGCCCCGCGGCCCCCAGGCACGAGAAGUGCCCAGAAGACGACGACGAGCCCCGCAAAGCGCUGACGAACGGCACGGCGCCGGCCAGGCCCGAGCUCACGGGCGCUCCCGAAGCUGUGACAUGUGAGUGCUCCCUCCAAGGCGCUCCCCGGCAGGGCUCGGCCCGUUAAUGAGCGAUGGAGCUGAUUAACGAGGCGGGCAGCGGCGGUGGGAAGCUGGCUCCUCCUCGCUCUGUUCUUCCCCACAUCAAAGCGAAAGGCUGGGGCUGAGCGUGAGUCACCGGGAGCUGGGGAAAGCCGAGGGCGGCAGCCAGCAGCCCCUGGUUUUGGGGGAGAAAUUCGGGCUGAGGGGAGGUGUGGGGCGCGCUGGGUUAACAGCAGGGCUGGGGGCCCUCGCUCUGGGUCCCGUUAUGGGGCUGGGAGAGCAGAGCUGGCCGAGGGGGGAGGCUGGGGGCCAGCCCCUCCUGCAGCCACGCCAUCCAUCCCUUCCCUGGCUCCCAGCCUGGAUGCUGGGACUUUGCUCCCAGGCUGCCCCUUACGCACGCGGCCGUUCCCCGUUCGCUGGACGCGAGCGCACAGCUUUCCCUUGCAAGCGGCGGAAAGCGCCUGGGUGCUUCCCUGUGGGGCAAGAGGACAGGGCGGGAAGGGGGCAAGCAGAGGGUGGGAAGGGGGCGAGCAGAAAGUGGGAAGGGGGCCACAAACUUCGCCGAGCGGGCAGAAGGAGGUGGGGGAACCGGCACACCGCGGGCGCUCCUGCCGGCGGCGUACGUGGAGCGAGGCGAGCGCACGUUUCCUCAGCCCCAGCUCGAGCCCUUGCAAGCAUCUGGGAGCUGGGCCGGCUGCCCACAGACAUUCUGCACCUCUGAGUCACGCCGCAGCCGCUGCGCCCCGCGUGGCGCGGCCCCGCGCAGCCCCCUCCCCACACCGCAGGCCCCGGGGCCGGCAGGAGCGCAGGCACCCNNNNNNNNNNNNNNNNNNNNNNCCCCAUGUCCUCCCCAGGAGGUUCAGCUCCCCGCAUCACGCCGGCAGCCCUCGCUUUGCAGCCUGCUCGGGUGCAGUGGGAGGGCUGGGGCUGUCAUCGAUGGGGCUGUCGUCGUUUUUUGGAGGGCAGAUUUCCCCGUCGGAGCUGUGCCAGGCGGUCCAAGCCCUGCUGGUGGCAAGGGACCGGGACCUCCGGCAGAGCCGGGUGGCAGCUGGGUGAGGAUGGCUGCGGGUCAUCCAUCCACCCACCAAGCCCCAGGGAUCCUCCAGGGAGUCCAAGCCGAGCCGGUGGUGUGAACAUGUGGGGCCACUGCCACCCCAAGGAGCGUCCCCAUGGUGUGAAACACAAAUUUUCACCCUUCCAGGAGGGUUUUGGUCAAGCACAGGCAGGAUCUGUCCCAUGGGCUGCUCCUCCCGGCCGUGCCUCCAACUUACAGAGCAUCACACAUCGCUCCUGGUGGCCCCAGGUUGAAGAUGUCAGAAGAGCUUUCUGAGCUGUCGGCCCCCCUGAGAAAUGGGAGCUCUUUUUCCUGGCUUGGAGGGGGGGAGGACGGCUGGCUGGCCCUCACUGCUGCUCGCUGGAGCCGGAGCGUGAUUUUGAUUUACAAACAGUUUAAUCUGAGGAAUGCAGCGAAAUGGAGAACGCCAAACCCAGCGCACUCCGUGCUGCUGUAAGCCCUGCUGCUUCUCAAAAAAAAUAAUAUAUAUAUCUCAUAAAAUAAAGAACAGCAGGCAAAUCUGCA